UGGGGAAUAUUGCACAAUGGGCGCAAGCCUGAUGCAGCGACGCCGCGUGGGGGAUGACGGUCUUCGGGUUGUAAACUCCUUUCGCUAGGGACGAAGCUUUUUGUGACGGUACCUAGAUAAGAAGCACCGGCUAACUACGUGCCAGCAGCCGCGGUAAUACGUAGGGUGCGAGCGUUGUCCGGAAUUACUGGGCGUAAAGGGCUCGUAGGUGGUUUGUCGCGUCGUCUGUGAAAUUCCGGGGCUUAACUCCGGGCGUGCAGGCGAUACGGGCAUAACUUGAGUACUGUAGGGGUAACUGGAAUUCCUGGUGUAGCGGUGAAAUGCGCAGAUAUCAGGAGGAACACCGAUGGCGAAGGCAGGUUACUGGGCAGUUACUGACGCUGAGGAGCGAAAGCAUGGGUAGCGAACAGG
rnacentral:rRNA from 1 species